UAUGGCCAUAUCACAUUGAAACACUGGUUCUCAUCUGAUCACUGAAGUUAAGCAACAUCAAACCUGGUCAGUACUUAGAUAGGUGACUAUUUAGGAAUACCAGGUGGUGUA